GAGGGACCGGGGCGCAGCCUGAUCAGCCAUGCCGCGUGAAGUGAUGAAAGGGCCUUAGGGUUGUAAAGCUCUUUUUGUCCGGGAAAGAAAAUGACUGUACCGGAAGAAUAAGCCCCGGCUAACUUCGUGCCAGCAGCCGCGGUAAUAGAAUACGCCUGGUAAUAUAAUAAGUAGCUGACC
rnacentral:rRNA from 1 species